rnacentral:lncRNA from 1 species
ACGGGAAAAAAAUAACAUGGUUAAUAUCGCUACUCUCUAAUGACAAUCAUCUCAUCUGUACCGACGCUGGUGCUCGCGCUUGCUGAGGCUCCCUUCCUCCACCUAGCUUGGAGCUGUACCUAUCCGGACCCUGGGGACGACGACCAUCUCUCCCGGCCCCGGGCCUCUUAUCCUGUUCAUACCAACGCAAUGAACAAAUGUGAGACUACAAACUCUUCGGGGGAGGACGAUGAGAUCGUGAGAGAAGAAAAGACGGUUCAUGCAUGGUCCAGACACAUACGUCUCGGAACUGGAGAUCGUCCAUUUCGAGCAUGUGGAUCACAUGCCCCAUCUUAGGCCGCUUGUUCGCGUCAGGGUCCACGCAGCGGAGCGCCACCAGGAGCGCCCGCUUCAGCGUCUUGGGAGGAGGCCU